rnacentral:misc_RNA from 1 species
AACAAAUUUGCCAUCAAAAUCCGGAUAUAAGCUGUCGAGGUUAAAAUUAUUUAUCUCAGAAAAGAUUUCGUUGAAUUUAAAUUAUCUGAACAUUGUACAUACUACAACAAGAAAUCUAUAAACUCGAGAUUUAAAAAAUCCUCUGUGAGCUUACUAUUCUACAAUAAUCAUUUUGAUUGGUAUUUAUUUUAAAGAAGGGAAAGUGUGUGGGUGAACAGCUGAAGCUUUCUCGACUGCACUUGGUCAUAGUGAUUUCUGGGAUACUGGAUCUGAUGUAGAGAGCUCAUUAUACAUGUCAGAUAUUGCUUUGGCGAAAUAAGCCUUCGCCUGAGGCCUCUUGACCUUGAACGUGGGUGUGAGAAGGCCAUUUUCGAUUGUGAAAGGCUCAACAACCAAUGUUACAGCUUUUGCAAAUUCGAAACCUCUCAACUGAGCUUCCCUUCCAACUGCAUCCAUCUCAGCAAGAACAGCAGCCCUUGCUCUUGGAUCAUUGCAUAGUUGUCCCAAAUCUUCAUACUUGAUUCCCUCAGAUGAUGCCCAUUCCUUCAAGACAUCUGGCUCUACACAAACUAUUGCUACUAAAGAGGAAUUAAAGCUAUCACCAUAGACGAAGCAUUGUGCAAUAAAUUUGCAUUUAGCAUAAACAUUCUCAAUUUUCUCAGGAGCUAUGUAUUCACCCUGUGCCAACUUGAAGAUAUUCUUCUUCCUGUCAAUAAUCUUCAAGCGGCCUCCAGGUAACCAUAAUCCAAUAUCACCAGUAUGCAGCCAACCGUCAUCAUCAACUACCUCCUUCGUCUGCACUUCAUCUUUGUAAUAGCCUUGAAAAACAAUAGGACCUCUAACACAAAUCUCUCCACGAGGAUGAGGCUGAUCCUCUGAUGUGUAACUCAUUUCGGGGACAUCCACAAGCUUUAUCUCACAUGCUGUAUUUGGAGAACCAACAUGACCAAUUAAGUUAUCAGUCUCGUCCAUUGAGCUUAUGACACAUGAAGUCUCAGUCAUGCCAUACCCUUCCAUUACUUGACAGCCAAAACAUACUCUCAAGAACUCCAACACAUCAGGGGACAAUGGUGAGGCACCUGAGGUCAUAAGACGAACUCGUCCGCCCAGUUUGUCCUUUAUUUUGUUGAACACCAACCUAUCCCACAUUGGUGAUGGCUUUCUACCGUUCAUCACAGCUUGCUUCUUGGAGUUGUAGGCAGCAUUAAAUAGUCUCUGCUUCAGUACACCAGAAGUUUGUACGGCAUUUGUGAUCCCAGCAUAUAUCCUGUUGAAGAGACGAGGAACACUGCUAAAUAUUGUAGGUCUAAGUGUCACCAAAUCAUCCAUCAAUUUCAGAU